UGCCUACUUUUUGACAUGUCUACUUUGCGUC
rnacentral:piRNA from 1 species